ensembl:lncRNA
UUUAUUAUAAAAUUAUGUAACUUUGUUUCUUGCUGACUUUAAUGAUUAGGAGGCUGAUUUGUCAUUGUAAUUUCACAAGUAAAAUCACACAUUAGUUAUACUCCAUAGACCGAUAAUGAACCUCUAGUCUCAAAACACACAAAAAUGAUGGGGCCAAAACUCUUUAUUUCAUCAUGUGCGGAAUAAAAAGAUAAAAAUGAUUAUUGUAUCCACUUGUGUUUUCUUUUUGAACUGAUGCAGAUGAUAACAAAUAAUGAUGUUGAAAGGCAGUGAGAAAAUUAGUUUUAAAGAAUUUAAAAUCAAGUGUAACAUCCCAACACUAACACAUGCAAAAUUUACAGAACCCCGCACAUGAAAAAUAAAAUAAAACUAUAUAUAUAACGUGUUAACCUGCCCAGCCCAUAUAUAUAUAUAUAUAUAUAUAUAUAUAUAUAUAUAUAUAUAUAUAUAUAUAUAUAUAUAUAUAUAUAUAUAUAUAUAUGGGCUGGGCAGGUUAACGCGUUAUUAUCACAUUUUAUUAUUAUUAUCAUUACUAUUAUAAAAAGUCCUUUGCUCACUGGCUCUGAAUACACAUACAGACAAACCAUGGGUCACAGGAGGGUGGGAUGUUGAUCACUACUGGCUUGGGAUGAGCGUCAUCACACAUCUCAACCAAUGACAGCAUUUGGGGUGGGCCUAAGACUCACAUGAGUGCUCAUCCCGAUUAAAUUAUUUAGGCUAAGCAUCAACAUUCACAAACCACUGUUCACUAUUAUUUUUGACAGGUUAGAAUGCAACAAGCUUGUAAUCACGACUUCAUAAGUGAAAUAGAAAGUUUCUGAAAGCACGCGAAGACAAUGCGCACUGUGUCCUGCGAAGCACUCUGUUGUAAGGCCCCUGUUAUAAUGUUAUGAUCGAGGCUCUGGACUCUGAGCAUAACUUGUUUUUCUAUAACAAACUAUCAAAUAUUUUCUAUAAAAACGUCAAUGCCCUGGCAGUGACAAAUAGCUUUGGUUUUAUUUUUAAUUUGAUUACAUUAAUGUUUUAAGUUGAGAUUUACUAUUAAUAUAUAACUAAUAGGCCUACUAGGCUAUGUAAAAAGAAUACUGUGGUAAAAAAUACAUUAUUUGUUUAAAGUGUUUGCAAACAAAAUGUUAUUGCACUUUUGUUCAUAUUGAUGAAAUGAAAAAAGUUGAUAUUUUUCCCAUAUUUCAUGUGUGGGGCUCUGUACAAAAAUGGUGCAUUCUUCAGACAAUUAAAAACAAAUUUUGCAACUGAAAUUGAUCAAUUGAAAUAAAAAAAUAUCAUUACUCAAAGACUGACAUAAGCAGUUGCUUAUGGUCCAUAGUGCUUCAAUAUAAGGUUAAAAAAUAAAAUAAAAAAAAUAAUACACACCACUUUCUUGUCAUUAGCGGUCCAGUUCUUCAUGGCGAUUGUCUACAGUAUGUGUUGACAUGCCGCAGCUCUUGAGAAUCUGCCCGACACUUUCUUAAAUAUCUCACACAAUUUUCAUUAUUGUGCAAAACAUUACACAUACUGGAGUUACAUGAAUGUAAAUACAUCGUGAUACCAAUUAUAAGCUUCAGUAACAAAACUAAUGUGACUUUUCAGGUAAAUUAACAUGAAAAAAUAUACACAAAUUCAGUGUCUCAGUGUUUUCACUUCCACAUGUUGUCAUAUUUAAAGGGACAGUUCACUCAAAAAUUUAACCCACUCAACCCUGUAUGACUCUCUUUCUUCUGUGGAACAUUUCAAGACAUGUUUUUUUUUUCGUUUGUUUUUUUUUUUCCAUACAGUGCAAGUCAAUGGUAACCAAAACUGUUUGGUUAUUAACAUUCAUCAGAGCAUCAUUUUUGUGUUCCACAGAAAAAAGUAAAUCAUACAGGUUUGGAAGGACAUGAAGCAGGCUCAGUAAAUAAUAGGGCUGGGACAAUAAAUCGAUGCAGAAUCGAUUCAUGGAUGGAUUCUGAGAUCUUCUCUCUGGAAUCGACUCUGAGAUUAGAUUUUAACAGCAGAUGGCGCUCUAAUCUAGUAGGGCAAUCUCGAUUAGGCAAACGCUGCGAUUGUCAUGUGCAUUUUGUCAGUGAAGCACGGUUCUGUGAUUAGUAGUAAAUCUCCAUCUGAAGGCCAGAGAAACUCCAAAUACGCCUCGCAGAAGAACUCCAGUAAGUCCCUAUAGUGUCAACUGAAUAAACAAAAAAUUUAACUGCUUUCAUUGAUUCAGCGUGACUAAUAAACACACAACUAUGACAAUAUAGGAUUUAUCUGAGAUCUUAUUAUAAUUAUUAUUAUAAUUUUCAUUAUAAUAAAGUAUAUAAUAAUGCAAUGGCUUUAUCACUGCUUAGAAUAUGAUGAAAUAUGUUGCGUGCCUUAUUCUAUAUAAGAAGCCACAUCAUCUCACAGAAGGAUUUAUUUCAAACACUCGUCUGGCGUUAUGAAGUGAGUUUGGAGUAAAAACGUUAUUAAUUGUGAUAUUUUCACACGCUUUCAGAUGGAGCAACAUUUACUACAACCAGCCGUAGUUCACUGAGAAGCUACACAAACAGCUUUCAUCAUCACGGAACGAUUUCUUCGAUUUCAUAAUCGUGUGAUUAUAUCGUCUGCGAUUUAUAUUUUAUUGCAUAGCUUGUAAGAGAUCUACAGCUCUGUGUAGUAAAUACAGCUCCAUCUGAAAGCAUGUGAUGGAGAUGUUAUACUGAUUACAGAACCAGCUUUACUGACGAGAUAUGCAUGACAAUCACAUUCGAUUAAUCGUGCAGCCCUAUAAUCUAGUUUUAAUCUGCACACUCAAAUGCUCAUGAUGGUUCAUGUGUGUGAUUUGGAAACAAGCAGAGAACGGCUGUUUCUAAAGCAUGCAGCACCAUCUGCUGUUCAAAACUAAGUUCAGAAUCAACUCAAAUAGAAUUGCGAUGCAUUCAGAAAAUUUCAGAAUCUAUGCCGAAUUACGAUUCACGAUGCAUUGAUUUAUUUUCCCAGCCCUAGUAAAUAAUUUCAUUUUGGCCUGAACUAUCCCUUUAACUCACAUUAGCUUUCAUAAACAACUGCAAAGUUCAAUAGCUCUCGAAGGGGAUGUUACCAGUCUGUAUUAUUUUCUGAAGUGUCCCAAUAUGAGCUCAGGGUUCUGCUUGGACCUUCAGCAGGGUUUUGAGGUGCACAGACAUCUGUACGGCUGUAUGCUGAAGAGCACCUUCUCCCACCCAAUGGCUGGGCGGUUUGGGGAGGACGCUGGGCGAGGGCGGCUCGCUGAACUUUGCUCCUGCGUACGUCUUUUCUGCCUCCGAUGAGAGCUCAGGAGGGCACACGCUCACCCUCCUGAGGCCCUCAGCAGUGCUCUUCCCCAUGUGUGUGGGGGUCUCCUGUCUUUUGGGAAGCUGAGAGUCGUCGGAUGAGUUUCUUUGCUUGCUCCACUGUCUCCGUUUGUUCAGGUUGUCAGUGGUUUUCUCAAGACGGCUCGAGUUGUGGACAGAUGGUCUGCUGGGCUGGAUUCCUCGUUCAACACUUUCAGUUUUUAACUUCAGCUGCUGAAGACAAACGGGAAACACUUAGGAUCAUGUAAGAUGGUCAGACCACACUGCUGAUGUUCUCUCUGGCCUCUACGUCUCACACUGUGACCAGAACGCCAAAACAUGUGAUCAUUUCAUUUGUGGUGUUUAGUAACGGAUGAGUUCGCGACACUUCUUCAUGAAGCUUUGAAUCUUUUCAGAAUCAUUGGUUUUGAAUCU